rnacentral:rRNA from 1 species
AUUAAGCAAUGGGGGGUCUAUCUGCAGUCGACGCUUUGUGGUUCACUGAUUUGAAGAGCUUGCUCAGAUAUGACGAUGGACAUUGCAAAGAGUGGCGAACGGGUGAGUAACACGUGGGAAACCUACCUCUUAGCAGGGGAUAACAUUUGGAAACAGAUGCUAAUACCGUAUAACAAUAGCAACCGCAUGGUUGCUACUUAAAAGAUGGUUCUGCUAUCACUAAGAGAUGGUCCCGCGGUGCAUUAGUUAGUUGGUGAGGUAAUGGCUCACCAAGACGAUGAUGCAUAGCCGAGUUGAGAGACUGAUCGGCCACAAUGGGACUGAGACACGGCCCAUACUCCUACGGGAGGCAGCAGUAGGGAAUCUUCCACAAUGGGCGAAAGCCUGAUGGAGCAACGCCGCGUGUGUGAUGAAGGGUUUCGGCUCGUAAAACACUGUUGUAAGAGAAGAAUGACAUUGAGAGUAACUGUUCAAUGUGUGACGGUAUCUUACCAGAAAGGAACGGCUAAAUACGUGCCAGCAGCCGCGGUAAUACGUAUGUUCCAAGCGUUAUCCGGAUUUAUUGGGCGUAAAGCGAGCGCAGACGGUUAUUUAAGUCUGAAGUGAAAGCCCUCAGCUCAACUGAGGAAUUGCUUUGGAAACUGGAUGACUUGAGUGCAGUAGAGGAAAGUGGAACUCCAUGUGUAGCGGUGAAAUGCGUAGAUAUAUGGAAGAACACCAGUGGCGAAGGCGGCUUUCUGGACUGUAACUGACGUUGAGGCUCGAAAGUGUGGGUAGCAAACAGGAUUAGAUACCCUGGUAGUCCACACCGUAAACGAUGAGUGCUAGGUGUUUGAGGGUUUCCGCCCUUAAGUGCCGCAGCUAACGCAUUAAGCACUCCGCCUGGGGAGUACGACCGCAAGGUUGAAACUCAAAGGAAUUGACGGGGACCCGCACAAGCGGUGGGAGCAUGUGGGUUUAAUUCGAAGCAACGCGAAGAACCUUUACCAGGUCUUGACAUCCCUUUGACACUCCAGAGAUGGAGCGUUCCCUUUCGGGGACAGUGACAGGUGUGCAUGAUGUCGUCAGCUCGUGUCGUGAGAUGUGGAUAGUCCCGCACGAGCGCACCCCUUAAUAACUAGCUGGCAGGCAAUUUCAGUUGGCACUCUAGUGGAGACUGCGGUUGACCAAGCGGAGAAGGGUGGGGGGAUG